rnacentral:rRNA from 1 species
AGAGUUUGAUCCUGGCUCAGAAUGAACGCUGGCGGCGUGCUUAACACAUGCAAGUCGAGCGCGAAGACGACUUCGGUCGUCGGAGAGCGGCGCACGGGUGAGUAACACGUGGAUAACCUGCCUGAGCAUGGGGAAUAACUUGGGGAAACCUGAGCUAAUACCGCAUACGUCCACCGGGUGCUUCUCGGUGAAGAAAGACCGCCUAUUCUUGAAAGCGGUCGUGCUCAGAGGGGUCCGCGGCUGAUUAGCUAGUUGGUGAGGUAAUGGCUCACCAAGGCGACGAUCAGUAGCCGGCCUGAGAGGGUGAUCGGCCACACUGGAACUGAGACACGGUCCAGACUCCUACGGGAGGCAGCAGUGGGGAAUAUUGGACAAUGGGCGAAAGCCUGAUCCAGCAACGCCGCGUGGAGGAUGAAGGCCUUCGGGUUGUAAACUCCUGUCAGGUGGAACGAAAAAGCCUGCCCAACAAGCAGGUUCUAUGACGGUACCACCAGAGAGCCACGAUUUUGUCC